AUUGAACGCUGGCGGCAGGCCUAACACAUGCAAGUCGAACGAGUGGCGGACGGGUGAGUAAUGUCUGGGAAACUGCCUGAUGGAGGGGGGUAACUACUGGAAACGGUAGCUAAUACCGCAUACCCUCGGAUGUGCCCAGAUGGGAUUGGCUAGUAGGUGGGGUAAAGGCUAACCUAGGCGACGAUCCCUAGCUGGUCUGAGAGGAUGACCAGUCACACUGGAACUGAGAAACGGUCAAGACUCCUACGGGAGGCAGAAGGGGGGAAUAUUGGACAAUGGGCGAAAGCCGGAGCCAGCCAUGCCGCGGGUGUGAAGAAGGUCUUCGGAUUGUAAAGCACUUUAAGUUGGGAGGCGGUACCAACAGAAUAAGCACCGGCUAACUUCGUGCCAGCAGCCGCGGUAAUUC
rnacentral:rRNA from 1 species